CCCGCCGGGAGGAGGGAGCGCAUGUGCGCAUACCGCGCCCUUUUCCGUUUUCGGUCUGAUUAGCUGUAGUGCCAUCCGCUCUGUCCAUUACAAUUUAGGAAAUCUUUACGUAUUAUAUUUCACAGAUUUUAGCGGAUGAUUCAUCUCAUAUACUACCCACAAAACACGGUCCAGAGGUUCACCAUUAGCAGCCCCGUCCUCCAGAAGCAAGGAAUCCAGAAGCUCGCGCUCGUCUCCUUCUUCUCUGCUGCAAGCUGGAGAAGGAGAAGGCGAUCCUUGAGGAGACAGCAAAAGACCGCCCCAAAAUUCAGGAGGAAGUUCGUCUUGCAAUUGCCACGCUGAUGGAGGGCGAAAAUGCUGGAUUUGUUGUUCCUCGGGCGCGGCUUCCUCAGGCGCGGCUUCCUCCUCAGGCAAACGGCUCCGGCGCGCAGCUUCCUCCUCAGGCAAACGGCUCCGGCGAGAUUCAGGAGGCGAACAAGAAGACUAGCUGAUGGACCGGUUCACUAGUAGUGAAUGUCAGCGUUACUAUUAGAGAUUGAGAUGAGACUAUGGAGGCUAAUAACUGAAGAACUGCCUAAUUCAUGUCAGCAUCAGGGCAGUGUACUCCGUGUGGUAAUCAGACUCUUAACACUCGUCGGUCUGCUUGUAGUACUAAUUAAGUUAUUGUAUCAGACAUUACUGGUAUGUGUGUGGUAA